CUCAGGAACUGGGUCACCAAGAAUACUUUAAGCAUCUUGGAAGCAGACUUCCUUUUCCCACUGGUGCCCAUGGAUUUCUUAGAGAUGGGCCACCGUGUUUCGAAUGACAUGUGCCAGCGAGGGAAGAGGGGAAGAAGGUCAGUUCCUUGCUCUCCUAUCCUAAGGAGGCUAGCACAGAUUUAGGGUGAGCUCCUGCUUGCUUCCAGGAGGGCAGCUUUCUAACAUGGGUCUACUUCACAUCCCUCUAUGAGAGCUGAGCAGGGGCCAGGAACCCCAACUCAUGAUGCUUGCUACUGGUGACAAGCCAGCCUCUCCCCAGUGCAGCUCCACCAGGCUGCAGGAGGUGUGCCAUCAGAGCCCUGCCUGAGACCCAGAAUGGGGGUCACUCUGCUUGCCCCUGAACCUUGGGACAGCUUCCUUCUCAUCCCUUGGCGAGGUGCCUGCCUGGUUGCAGUCGGAACAGAUAAAGUCUAAGUGAGGCCGGGGGUGGACUGUGAAAGGCCUGGUACCUCUCCAACCCUACACAUACACACACAUAAGGACACACAAACACACAUAGACUUACCUAUAUAUCCACAUAUGCUCACAGGCACAUAUGUGUGUGUGCAGAAAUACAUAAAUAAGACCUAUGCAUGGGUGCAAAAAUACCUAAUACAUGUGUGCACACACACCCACGGUUAUAUGCACACACACAUACAGACUGUGUAUGUCUGGGACUUGCCACUCUUGUUGAAGAGUGCCCACAGACAGGUACCCCAGAGGGGUUGUUACAGGCUGUUGGAAUCCAUGCUCCCCUCCCCCAGCCCUCCAGUCCCCUGAGCUCACCCUACUCUAUUGGCUGUUGCUAGGAUCUCCAUGGUGACAAGUUCUGGAUGGGAGGAAGCCCACCACUGCCUUCUUCCCAGCUGGGGGCUGCCAGGGCCUGGGUGAUGGCAGUACCCCAUGGGGAAGUUGUUGCCUGGAACAGCUCUGGUGCUGGGGAGCCACAUGCCUGUUGUUCAUCCUCCACUUGUCCUGCCCAGCUCUCUCCCUAGCGGUGACAGAGCAGACCCUGGCCAGCCUCCCCUUGUGGAUUCCCCAUGGCCACUUGCUUGAGAGUGUGCCUCUCCCAGCCACAAACCCAGCCAACUGGGGCCAGCCUGAGGAUGGAAAAUAGAGGACAAAUGUUCAUCACUCUCCACGCUUUGUCCCUGGCAGAUAUUACUAGUCAAUCAUAGCACUUUCUCUUGCUGAGCCGUUCCCUGGCCUCAAAAGCCUACCAAGCAGUCACGACCAGUUGAUUGAUUGUGGUAGACAAGGGACAUAAAACCUAUUUGCUAAGGCCCCAAUUCAUAGCCAGACCAGCUAUGGCCUCUCUGUCCCCACCCUCCUCACUUCACCUGACCUCCUCCUGCUCCCUACUGUGUGCCCCAGACACAGUGCCCCUGCCUCCACAUACUUCCUCAUUCCAUCCUCUGAAUCCAUCUCUAGCUUCUGAGGGGCCACCAUGGCCUCAGGAAGCCUGCCCUCCUGACCUCAACAGAAUCUGCUCCUUUUCCUAAUCCUCCCCUAUGGGGCCCAGUGUUUUUCAUCGUCUACCCAGUUAGGGGCAGUUCAGCCUCCAGGAGUCUGGAGUGGAGCAGGUCGGGAUCUCACCCCUGUGACUUCACCUAUGUAAGCCCCCCUUUCAUCAUUGGAAUCCCCCACAAGGUCACCUAGAGUCCUGGGGCCCGGUCAGGCCUUCCUCAUGUCCCCACCUGCCCUCCAUACCAAGUUCCCCUCGGCAAAUGGGGUUCCCCUAAGAGGAGAGGGUUUGCGGGGCUUGUUGGCCUCGGCAAGUGAGCACUUCAAGCUCUGCUCAGGGCUGACUUGGGAUUGGUAUCAAGCAGCCCUGGCACCUGUCCCGGCAUGAAGGCCACACCCUGAGUUACUCUCAUCCCAUUGCGGCUUUCACCUUCUCGGCCCUGCAUUCACCUCAGAUUCCCCAUUGAGGGGAGCAGAGCAGGGCUUGUCUGUCCAUUCUACAGAUGGGAAAGCUGAGGCUAGGAAGGGAAGUGUCUUGCCCAAGGGCCUGGCUCCAGCCCCAGCCAGUUACUCACCCAGUGGUCCUAGGUGAGUCAUGGUGCCCAGGUGAUGGGAAGGAAACAUAUAAACACGAGCAGUGGGAAGGGCACUCCAGGAGCUGGGCAGAUGUGCCUGCAUGGGGCUCCCAGCUCUGAACUCCCCCACACAGGCACCUAUGGGCUUACUGGGCAGGUGAAACCCUGACUGUCUCAAAUUGUGUUCCCUUCUGGCCUUAUGUCUCGGCUUGGCAUCAGCCUUGGGAGGGCUGUCAACCCACAUGACAGAUGGGGAAACUGAGGCCCAUGGUUAGAAAUCAAGCUGUGGCAGGGGACUGUGCCCCAGACUAAGAACCCAGAGCUCCUUCCCCCCAGCCUGGGGUCCCCAACUGGCUCUUACUAUGGUUCCAGGCUCCUGCAGGAAGAGACCCAAGCAUAGGCCACAGGAAGCCCCUUGCACUAGCAACUCUUUCCUAUCUCUGGGGUGGCAGGAGGCCAACGCUGGCAGAGUAGGGGACAGACUGGGGGCACGGGCAGCCACUCACCCCAUAAGGAGAAGGGGCUGUAUCCUUCCUGCAUGUAGUAUGUGUGCUAUCAAAUGCUCUCUCCACUUCCAUGGCAUACAUGGCUGAUCCUGCCCAGGACCCAGCUUCAGAACCUCUGCCCUCCACUGUCUCUACACAGUCCAGACCUCUGACCUCUCCCCUAGACCAUCUCACUAGGCUUCCAGCCCCUGCUCCAUCCCCACAGUCUAUUUCCCACACAGCAGCCAGAGAAAUCUUUUGAGAAUGGAAUCAUACCCGGCCCUCCCCUGCUCUGAAGCCUCCCAUUGUUGCAGAGAACUCCACUGGGUGGCCACGUGGCCCUUGGUGAUCUGGCCCUGCCCCUCCCCCCCACCUCCUCAAGUCCCUCAGGGUCCAGGAUUCUCUGGGUCCCUUCUCCUCUCUCUCUCUCUCACUCGCCUAGCCCAGGCCCCACAUCCUCCUGCCUGUUCUUUCUUCAGGGCCUUUGCUCUCAUUGGCCCCUCUGCUGGAAACUUCCUCCCCAGCUCUUUCCUUUGACUAGUUUCUUAUCCUUCUCCCCAAACCCACUUGUCCUCCAGAGCCAGAGAGGGCACCUGGGAAGUGGCUGAGCCAGAACUGGAACCCUAGCCUCCUUUUAGACUCUGUGUUGUCAGCCAUGAGCACAUGGUCCUGGGAUUUAAAAUGCUUUUGGCUUUCCCUUGCCACACUGGAGGAUUCCAGAAGCCUCUCACUUCCAUUCCCCACUUGGGCCUUAGCCCGUCCUGCAUGACCUGCCCAGAGUCACUCAGUGAGAUUCCCUGGAGCCAGGAGGCUCCUGGUCAUGAAGGGAUGGAUCCCUGCUCUCACCGGCCUCGUCCAUGGCCUCAGGCUAUAGGCCUCAAUUUCCCUCUUUCAGAGAGGGUGCUCCCUCUCCCAGCCAGGUGCAGCUCAUCCUUCCUCUGCAGAUUGAGCCAAAACACUCACUUCUAGGGGACUCUGGGGUCCCAAGCCUGGGUUCCAGUCCUGCAACCCACCAGCGGUGAGCCUGGAGGAGGGGCUGGGCUGGUGAGGGAGCCCCAUCUGCUGACACUGAGACCAUCCCUAGAGAGCCAGGAGAAGCAGCUCACCAGCCCUGGGAAACCAGGCAGGCUGGGUCUGAUUUCCCUGGGGCUCAGAGGAAGGCAGAGGAGAGAGGGAAAGGAUUCAGAGAAGACUAGCUGGGCCGGUUCCUUGCCCCAAGGCCAGUGAAGGCCAGAGCCCUUUCCUCUUGCAUCCCCCUCCCCAGAAUCUUUGCCCUGGGCUGAUCCCCCUCCCUCUUACAACACUCCAGGGCUUGUGGGCAGCACCUCAUGAGUCCACCUGGGGCUCUGAGGGAUAGAAACCAGGGAUUUGGGGGAGCAGGGGUCCUUCUGAUCCUUCUGAGGCCACCUCUGCCAGGAAGGGCCUGGAGCCCUGAUGGUUUGAGCAGGGGUAGGAGGCAGGAGGGCAUCUCUGGCAGGCAUUCCCAGACAGAGCAAAGGCAAAGAGCUGUGAUAGAGUCAGGUGUGGUGCCCUGGUUCUGUCUUUGCCAAACCAGCCUAUGGUUUUUUGAUUAGGAGAGCCAGCAGUGGCAGGCUCCUGACAGUAAAGCUAGCCCAAGCUUUGAGGCUGAGAGGGUGGAGGAAGCUGGGAAUUCCCAGGGCACCUGGCAGGCGGAUGUGCCAGGGGCCUGGGCUGGGUCUGCUUCAGGUGGGCCAAGGGGCGGGGCCGGUAGGUCUCUCUGUAGCUGCCAGGCUUAAUUGUAUCAUUAGCAUCUGCCUGCUGCCAGCCUGGGCCUGUCUGGUCCCCUCCCCGUCAGCCCACACAGCCCUGUUUUUCAGGAAUCCCUCCUAUGAGGCAUUGAUGGUGACAGUGACAGUGACCAUGAUGAGGCUGGGGAAAUGGCCUGGGAGCCAGCUGGCCUGGUCCAGGCGUGAGGUUGCUGGGUUGAGGCCUCACCACCCAGUCACAUCCGAGAUUUCACACCCAGCGCCAUCCCAGCUGCCUGCCUGGGACUGGAUGUACAGUGUUCCCACAUAGACCCAGAAGACAACACCCUUAUCCUGACCCUCAGGGAGCCUUUCCCACGAGGGGACUUUGGCCCAUGCCUCCUGCCUCCUCAGGGCUCUUCUUGCAGCAUUGUCCACAGAACACUAGGUCUGCCA
ensembl:lncRNA